CAGGUUUGCAGCCCUCUUGGGCGUUAAGGCCGUUAGCGUCCUCCAGCAAAACAGCGUGAUGGGCGCCUCCAGGAAAAGGUUGAUUUUUGUGCUGCAAUUAUCAGACAUGAAACUGAGGGAGAAGGUGCCCAGAGGCACAAAAACAUCGAGUUGCAGGAAGUCUGAGGCAAGGCAGAUGCCAGGGACAGCUACACUUUCCCACAGACGGUAGAAGACCUUCCCAAGAGAUGAUUUGGCA